AGAUAUUACCUUCUUAUUGCUGCCAAAAACUGAGGUCAUGGAGGUGAUUUGGCUGAUGGCCCAGUGUAAUCAAAGUGACUGCAGGCUGAUGUUCCUUUGGACCCCCUACACACCUCUUCAAUCAAGUAAGUCUUCACUCAAAAGAGGCAGCCUGGAAAGCUGCCCCAACAGCCACACAUCUAAUGCUCAGCCGUUCUUCAAGAUGAAUGUCAGCACACUUUUUCUCCACUAAAGUCACUUUCUGGCAUUUCUUUUUUUGAACCUUGGACUGAAAUUGUCUAUACCAUACACAUUUUUGUUCUAUUAAUCAAGUAUCUCAUUUGUACAUAUGUAAUUUUGAUAAAGAUACGGUUAGAACAAUAUUUCCUAAAUUGAUGCCUAUUUGAAGAUCACUAAGUGAGUAGAAGGGCUGUGACCUGCGUUUUACAAAAGUACAAGAAAAAGAAAAUAUGACAAAGAAAAAAUACAUUAGAAAAUGUCAUGCAUCCAAUGUCUAUUGCUUGAUUAAAUAAAGGUGUGCGUGUGUGUGCGUGCGUGUGUGUGUGUGUGUGUGUGUGUGUGUGUGUGUGUAUGUGCCCACACAAAAGCAUGCUUGAUCAUGAAAUAAGGUAUGGAGAGUCAAAAUACUCUUCAUUUCUAUCUUAGUCAAGUCUCAUUGCAUUACAAUGUCUUGGAGUACUUCUGAUUUAAUUCCCUCAGAGGUCUCAAUAAAUGAAUCAUAAUUAUGUGAGUGGUGAUCUCAGAGAUUCUCAAUCACACAGAAGAAUAAAUAUUUGCAAUUCAAUAAAUUUUGAAAAUGAAGGUCAAAUUUGGGAAAGGUAGACAAGAAUUUCUAACUACUUAAAUCGUGCUAAAAAUAAAAAAAAUUGGUCUCAAUUGAGUUGAGCAGUAUAAUGAGAAAGGGAGAUUAUAAGAAUAUUUGUAAAACAAGAACUUAUUGGACUUUAUAUAUGGGGUCAAUUGGGUUCAAUGCAAAUUUCUAUGAUACAAUAAUCUAGCUACAACUCACUUUACCCUCAUGCCUAGAUUAUUAGUCAUCUCUUAAAAUUUAUAAUAUUGAUUGCAAGUAAUUAUUUUAAAUAAUUUGCUUAUUUUAAAUAGAGCUUCCCAUUAUUUUUAUUAUUUCAAAAUAAUAGCUCCUCCCCAAGAAUCUAAGGUUGGUCUCUAGAAAUAGGAUAUAACGUAUGGUUUUCAUUUUAUUUUUUAUUGAGUUACUAAUACAGAGCAAUAAAAUUAAAGCAAAUAGAAUACUAAAGCUAGUGACAAAUAUAUUUAGCAUUUGGCAUUUAGGAUGUUACUAUGUAUAAGUCAUGAAUCAUUUCCUUUAGCCUACUUAGCUACGUCAUACAUCAAUGCCUCCUAUUUCAAUUUAUAUUUUUGCUAUUUAUUUCUUCCCUGCAUUUUAUUUGCGGAAGCAAAAUGGCACCUUUGAUUCUUGUAUACGUCUAUCAAGACUCCCCUCAGGCGUCUCCUCCUGAAUGUCUUUGUUCAUUACAUCCAAGCCUGUUCUCAGUGACCAGUUUUCCAUCCCAGGGAUCAUAUUGCAGAGAGAGUGAUACAUAUAACUCUUUCUGCUAUCUAAGACUUUCUCUUUGGGGCAAAAUUUCUUAUCUGUUUUAAAUACCCAACUCAAAAAAGUUGAUUGCAUGAUUAAAUUGAAAUGAUAUCAUUAAAUAAAGCAAUUACCCAA